rnacentral:lncRNA from 1 species
CCCAAUGCCAGUGAACCAACAUUUGGUGGCAGCCACAUAAGUGCAUUUGGAAGGGACAGUCAGGUGUCUAAACCAGUGCUCUUCCUCCUGAAGAACUGGAGCACUAGCCUGGGCUUGGAGAGAGCCUGCCCACUGGCUGCUUAGGGGAGCAUGUCCAGUGGCUGUCUACAUAUAUGAAAGUCUCUCACAGUAAACCAGGCUCUGCUGAGGGUCACAUUUACCACCACACAGGAUUUCCGUCGGUGAUAACAGCAGGGCCUGGUCAUUCCAGAACUGCCCCAUCUCCUCGUGAGUGUCUAUUUUCGGCGAGGCAGGCAUCUUAAUUUCUCCCAAGAAUGUGACAUUCCUUAGGUGUCUAACCUAUACCGGACCACCAAGUAAGCUUCUCAAGUAAGCAGCGCAGGCUCCCAUCCCUGCCCAGCGCUCUGAAUCAAAAGUUAAAAGAAAAGGUCGGCUCUGUCUGGGUCUCUCUGUGUGCGGAUGCCUCAAGUGGAGACAUAAGUUACUCAGGAGGCUUGUCUAAGGUAUGAAGCCUUUGACAUCUGCUGUGUGACUAUAACUGCAGCACACCUCAACUUGAACAAGGCACAUUUCUAGUGGCCAGUGACUUGGAGCUGGACAUUGUGGCUCUGGACAACAUGUGGAAUGUCAUCAUCAUCCUAGGAAGAGAUCAUUAGGAGUGGUGAGGAGCUCAGAAGACAGAACUUGUUAAUAAAGCCCAGCACUUGUGAGAGUGCUGUAACAGAGAGAAACAGAGCGUCCCUCCCAUCCUGUCUACAGAUGACGCCUGGAACACUGUCUGCCGACUUGUGGUUUACCAACCAGUGUGGGGUAA